ensembl:lncRNA
AUGUGGAAGUGUAAAGACUGCAGUGCAGAAGUUUCUAGACGAUCAGACCUUCUUAAGCACUAUAGACUGAAACAUAGUCAUUUUGGGCGUGGCCAUCACAUUAAGUGCCUAUAUCCUGAGUGUCCAUGUCUUUUAAAGACUUGGAAUUCACUUCUGACACAUUUGUCAAGGAAUCAUAGCAAUACCCCAGAGCACUCUGACAAAUUUGCAACUUUUUCCUGUCAGUUAUGUGGUUGUAGUGAAUUAGGAACAGAGCGUGAAUAUUUUGUGCACAUUAGCCGUCAUUUAAAAAACAAUGAGACAGUAACGUGUAUGUUUAAAGGUUGUGACUGCAAAUCAAAUAUUUACAGUACCUUUAAGUCACACAAAAGUCGCAAGCACAGUUUACACUCGCUGGUAGACUUCAAAGAGGAUAUUGUCAGAGGAUCUUUUGCAACUGAAACUGCAGAGCAUGAUGUUUCAAAUGCUGAGGAAUUGUGGGGUGACGAACAGCCUGUUGAUUUAGAGACAUCAAAUGAUCAUGAAGACGUAGUUCAGCUAAAGCUUGCGGCAGUGUUAUUAAAGCUAGAAAAUAUUUUUCACGUUCCAAGUGCUGCAGUUGAUGAACUUUUGGAGGAAUUUCAGUAUUUGUUGGGCACAGCAUCUUUGUGUAGUGCAGCAAAAGUUAUCCAAGACACAUUGAACAGUCACAGCUUGCAAAUAGACCAGUCAGUCAUUGAAGAACUUGCAUCUGCACUGUGUACAUCUAAUCCUGUGUAUAAAUCGGUAGGUAAAGGCUGUCCCCUAGCAACAUCCUUUAAGCGCAAAAAUUUCUACAAGGAAAAUUUUAAAGUUGUAGAGCCUGUAGAGUAUGUGUUGGAUGAAAAAAAUAAAAGAACAUUUCAGUAUGUUCCAGUUUUAAAGGUUUUACAGCAGCUUUUCAGUGAUUGCCACGUUCUUGCUAAGGUUUUGGAUGGUAGUCGCAUAACAGAACAAAGUGGGGAAGAAGUGAUUUACAGGUCUUUUAGGGAGGGGUUGUUUUUCAAAGAAAACAGUUUUUUAUCAGCAGGUGAACUGCGAGUUUUACUGAAUUUGUAUAUUGACGAUUUUGAGAUUUGCAAUCCACUUGGCACUUCCCGUAAAAAGCACAAAAUUUGUGCCAUAUAUUGGACUAUUAGCAAUUUACCACCUGCUUGCCAUUCAUCACUGACUUCCAUUUAUCUGGCUUUACUCUGCAAGUCUGAAGAUGUAAAGACAUAUGGAUAUGAAAAGAUUCUAGAGCCGUUGUUGAGUGAUCUUGUUACUUUGGAAAGUCAAGGGAUUUUUAUUGCACAUCUUGGAGAAUUUGUCAGGGGCACAAUACAGUGUGUCAUAGCAGAUAAUUUAGGAGCACACAGUAUUUCUGGAUUUAUUGAGAGUUUUUCAGGUGAAUACUUUUGCAGAUUUUGUGAGGCCAAAAGAUCUGAUAUUCAAGAAACAGAGGUUAGUUCAGGUGCGUUUACUCUGAGAAGCAAAGAGACACAUGAAAUGCAUCUAAGUUCUGCACAGAGUAAUGCAAAACCAUGUCACGGUGUUAAAAGACGGUGUGUUUUCUCUGCACAUCUCUCCCAUUUCAGUGUUUGCAGUGGAUAUCCUCCAGAUAUUGCACAUGACAUUUUUGAGGGCAUAUUACCAGUUGAGUUGGCAUACUGCCUGAAUAUCUUAAUUUUGAAAAAAUAUUUUACACUGGCUGAUCUUGAUCUGGAGCGCAUCUAUAGUGAAAUGGACCUGUCUUAUCCUUUCACUUAG